rnacentral:lncRNA from 1 species
CAGGCAGCCACACCACCAGCACCAUGCUAAGCUGCCAAGCCUGAGUCUCACUGGUACAAACCAGUUUUCAUUUAGUUUUCAGCUUUCAUAAAAGCAUUAUGUCAGACUUUUGCACACUGCUCAGGGGAACAGGAAACUAUUGCAACAUUUAUCUCACAGCAAAAGCAGUGAGCAAAAUCGACCACCCAUCUCAGGAUGUGAGCAGCAACCCCAGAAGGCUCCCACAGGAGCAAGUAACUCCUCUUGAAUGCCAGAAAUAUUAAAGAAGGAUGAACAAUCACCUGCAAGGCCUCUCUCAUACGUUCCCUGUCCACCAGGUUGUGCAGAGGCCUCUCCCUGCCUGAAGGCACAUGCAAGCUGCUGACGGCGGCAUGGUUACAUGCAGACUCAGGCCCCACUGAGUUGGGUUGAGGCUCUGCUCAGAAGUAUUUUGUGACAGCCAGGGGAAUAUUUGUCCCUGCUUGGCACCUUCUCACUGCAACACUGCUCCUGCUCCCUCUGGGCUGCAGUUUCAGCAGUUCCCAGCUGUGAAAGGCUGUACCUGUUUUGUUUUGUUUGCCGUUUAUUGCAUGUGCUUUUGCAAAGGUGUAGCUUGGCAGCAGAGGAGGCCGCAGGCUAGUCUUGUCCUUGCGGGAAGGACAGGCCAAUUCUAAAAGAGCCCUUCUCAAAGAACCUUUUGGAGGAGUGUGUGGAUGGUGGGGGGAGAGGUGCAAGCAAAUGACCAAGCGAGGAGUGAGCCCUCUGGGAUAGCAAAGCUUGCCAGUGCAUGGGAGACCAGAGAAAGCAGCCAGGAACCUCAGAGGGGAGCGGAGACGGACACGGAGCCCGGCUGGGGCGGCACCAAGUCUGCUGCAAGCCAGCCAGCCCCUGAGCUGGUGAACUGGAACAAGCCUGGGAGAAAAGACGUGACCGCGGAGGCAGGAGCACCUUCCUAACAGAGGCUCCUCAAAUGAAAUUUAAGAGGCAAAAUAAUCUGCAUUCAAAGUUUAUAUGGGAUUGAAGGAAACGGAAAGGAAGCAAGAAGCAACAUAAAAGGAACCUGAAGAGGGAAGACCAGGAAUUUCAAUUGGGUGAGCAAAAUGGGACAUGUUCAGUCCUUGACUGGAAUUCGGCAUUCCUCUCCAGGUAAUGUUCUCUGAUAUUAUUGCCUGAGGCUGUCUUACAUGGGAUUUAUUCGAUACCUAAGAAUUUCAUCAUGCUACCAUAGUAAACUACAGUUUACCUGACAGCUAAGAGUCAUCCCCUCAUUUUGUUUUUGCUUUUUAUUUAAAUUUUCUUAGUUUGAACCUUCAUUUUUAAAAAAAUGUUAUUAUUUGGAUAUACUAUAUCUAGUAUUACUAAAUCUAGCUAAUAUGUUUUUCCACAGUGGAACUCCCCAUUAAAUGAGAUGAAGAAUAUAUGAUUUCCCAUUUUCCACCAACGGAUUUCCUGAUUACCUGGUGACUCCAGAUGCACAAGUGAAAGCAAAAACUAGGAGCAUUUUAUUUUGGGCACGAGGCCAGUGUGCUUUCCCAAAUUUAGACAGUAAUGUUUUUGGCCUUGUUAGAUUCUAUCCUGUUGUUAUUGCAGCCAGAGGACUGGUGGUAAGAUUUGUCAAAGCUGCCUAGGUAUGUGCAUCAUAAGAGGAAGAUUUAGACACAGUGAGAAUUAGAAUUAAUGAAGGUACUACUGAUUUUGUCCAGAGUUUUUCUUGCUGAAGGUACUGCUGUAUCUUGUCUUACCUGAUGCAUCUAGGCUGGGGCAAUCCCAAGCACAGAUAGAGGUUGUGUGGAGAAUGGCUUGAGAGCUGCCUUGAGGAGAAGGGUUUGAGAGUGUCAGUUGAUGAAAUAUUCAACAUGAGCCAGCAAUGUGCACUUGCAGCCCAGAAGGCCAACCAUAUCCUGAGUUGCAUCAAGAGAAGCAUGACUAGCAGGUCGAGGGAGGUGAUUC